rnacentral:rRNA from 1 species
GAGAGGGUGAUCGGCCACACUGGGGCUGAGACACGGCCCAGACUCCUACGGGAGGCAGCAGUAGGGAAUCUUCCACAAUGGACGAAAGUCUGAUGGAGCAACGCCGCGUGAGUGAUGAAGGUUUUCGGAUCGUAAAGCUCUGUUGUAAGGGAAGAACAGGUAUGAGAGGUAAUGCUCAUGCUAUGACGGUACCUUACGAGAAAGCCACGGCUAACUACGUGCCAGCAGCCGCGGUAAUACGUAGGUGGCAAGCGUUGUCCGGAAUUAUUGGGCGUAAAGCGCGCGCAGGCGGCCUUUUAAGUCUGAUGUGAAAGCCCCCGGCUCAACCGGGGAGGGUCAUUGGAAACUGGAAGGCUUGAGUACAGAAGAGAAGAGUGGAAUUCCAUGUGUAGCGGUGAAAUGCGUAGAGAUGUGGAGGAACACCAGUGGCGAAGGCGACUCUUUGGUCUGUAACUGACGCUGAGGCGCGAAAGCGUGGGGAGCAAACAGGAUUAGAUACCCUGGUAGUCCACGCCGUAAACGAUGAGUGCUAGGUGUUGGGGGGUUUCCGCCCCUCAGUGCUGAAGCUAACGCAUUAAGCACUCCGCCUGGGGAGUACGGCCGCAAGGCUGAAACUCAAAGGAAUUGACGGG